UUGGUGAAGUUGGUGAUCCCGUACUGUCGAGAAAAGCCUCUAGCGAUGUAUAUACUCGGCCCGUACCCCAAACCGACACAGGUAGUCAGGUUGAAAAUACUAAGGCGUUCGGGUGAACUGUGGUUAAGGAACUCGGCAAAAUGCCCCCGUAACUUCGGGAGAAGGGGGACCCUAUGGCGUUAACACUCUUUGCGGUGGGAAGCGUUGUGGGGUCGCAGAGAAUAGAGGGAAGCGACUGUUUAUCAAAAACACAGGUCCAUGCGAAGACGUUAAGUUGAUGUAUAUGGACUGACGCCUGCCCGGUGCUGGAAGGUUAAGAGGACCGGUUAAUCAAGCUUUGCUUGGUGAAGCUGAGAAUUUAAGCCCCAGUAAACGGCGGUGGUAACUAUAACCAUCCUAAGGUAGCGAAAUUCCUUGUCGGGUAAGUUCCGACCUGCACGAAUGGCGUAACGACUUCCCUGCUGUCUCAACCACAGGCCCGGUGAAAUUGCACUACGAGUAAAGAUGCUCGUUACGCGCGGCAGGACGAAAAGACCCCGGGACCUUCACUAUAGCUUGGUAUUGGUGUUCGGUUCGGUUUGUGU
rnacentral:rRNA from 1 species